rnacentral:misc_RNA from 1 species
GUGGAUCAUCGAAUCUUUGCACGCAAAUUGCACUCUCCUCGGAGAGUAUGCCUGUUUGGGGGUCAGCCUAUAAAAAAUCGACAUAGUUGUUGUUUCGUGGUGGGGUUCGUCGGAAAUUGGGUUAUCUUAUAUCCUUGUGGUUUUUAAGCGACUUAAAAUUUUCUUUUUGGUUCCAUGAACGUUUCUAAGAUUUAUUUCUUUACAUGUUUAAGGUAUCGAUUUUUAUUAGAGGUGACCAUCAUAUCGGAUCGCGUCUAUAAUCUUUCAUUAACUGACUUCAGACAGGUAAGAA